AGAUGUGAGGGUGAUCUGGCUGCGACCCCUGUCACCCCAUUGAUGGCCAGGGUUGGUUCUGCUGAUCUGGUGGGUGUCCCCUUCCUCCCUCACCCCUCCUGAAGCUGCAUGCUGGGUCAAAGAGGACAACCUUCCCCGAUAGACACGUACCCUUCAUCGGUCAAGGGUGCAGGGCACCUGAGUUCCCCUGCUAGAACCUCCAAACGAGCUCAAUUACUUUACAACACUCCAGUGGAGGUGUAAUAGGGAAGUUACAGUAACUAUAAACAAGCAUUAAAAAUAUUAUUCUGAUUU
rnacentral:snRNA from 1 species